GCAGGCGCCGAAGCUCCUAUUCUAGUGUACUGGGCAUGCAGUCUUUCCAAUACAAUCGGCCCUGCAUGUGGAAUUCUUGCACUGAAACACAUCAGCUAUCCUGCUCAGGUACGAAAAUUGGACUCCUGUGCUUGGCAUAUCACGUAAGUAUCCUGUUGGCGAAACAGCACUGCACCAUGUUUUCUGCAUUUGAUAUAUGAUGCAAGCUACCGAAAUCAGAACUGGGUGUACGUACUUUCAAACGCUUUCUGUUUAGUUGAUGUGCAUAUGUACGGGUGCUCGUUAAGUCCUCCAAGAUGAUUCCAGGUGCCAUUCCUUCUCGCAUAAUCUAGAAUCACAAGCGUGAAUCCUCAGAUCUAUAUUUUAAGGGUUCAAGGGGUCAACAAUUGGCCAAUGAGGACCAGUCACGAUUCUCAAGGUCACGAUAUGGGAGAAAAACAAUUUAAAUUCAGCUUCCCAAAUAAUAUGCAGUCUAUAUCUUGAAUUGUAGGUUCAAACAUUGGUUCUUUUUCUGAUUUGAAACCAACUACUCACCUGCAAAGUGGAGAAUUGACUCGGGGCAUGUGCUAGUGAGGAAUCAUGGCAGUAAUGCUGAUGGGAGCCCUCCUAUGCGGAGUCCCUUACUCCCUCCGAGAAUAUUUGUGCACCUUCCUGGUGGCUGGUGGAGUAGCGGUGUUCGCACUUCAGAUAAACACGUCAAUACUCUUGGUUUCAAUUUUGAUGUACAACCUCGUAUUCCACACGGAUACAUUCAAAGAAUAAUUCUAUAUAAUUGAUUGUUUCUGUAGAACUCAGAUAAGCAAGGAAGUAUCGCUAGUCCAAACGCACCAUUGGGUUAUCCAAAAUUGAACGCAUGGCACUUGAUGGUCGGGAUGAACGUGUGGGGCUUAGCGUACAUGACGCUUUUCAUGUUCUUGAUUCCUGGUGGAGGUGGGUACGAUGCCGUGGGGUUCUGCAUGCACCACCCUGACAUUGCUUGGGACAUUUUCUUGUUUUGCUGUGUGGGACAAUCGGCCAUAACUUCAUCUUCCUCACUAUCAGCCACUUCGGCGCAUUGACCAACACUACCAUCACCACGACACGGAAGUUUGUGAGCAUACUUGUGUCCUCAAUUUAGAACGGGAACCCGAUGUCACCUCCGGAAUGGGGCAGUGUGGCCAUGGUGUUCUCCGGUCUUUCAUACCAGAUUUGGUGCAAGUGCCUAAAGAAGCGGGACAAAUUAGCUGACCUUGUCCGAUUGAACAACCCUAACCAUUCCCGAGGGAGCAGCUGGCAGAUUCAACAUUGAAAAAUCACACAUACUCCCACAGCUAUCCAUUAUCCAACACAAUUGACAACGGUAAAUCCAACUCCGUAUACUGAUACCAUUCCACAGUAGUUCUGCAACUUCUACUUGGUUGCGGCAACAAAACACUGCAAUUAGAAAUGGGCUGUUUCCUCAAGAAAUAGGAUUUUGAUGAACUCACCAUAAGUGUUGCCAAAUGGGUUCUUCCACGUCCGGCCGGCACUUUGCUGUUACCUAUCCCAAACUCAGAGACGCAGAAACACAAACAAAUCGAUAGCAUUCAUGCUCUUGGACCAAUUUACCAUUAUCCCAGUUGGGUCUUUCACAAUCAGAGCAAGCAAUGCAACUAACAGGGAAGUGGCUCAAUGAGAAUGACAACAUAAGACUGAU
rnacentral:lncRNA from 1 species